rnacentral:rRNA from 1 species
CCUACGGGGGGCUGCAGUGGGGAAUAUUGGACAAUGGGGGCAACCCUGAUCCAGCCAUGCCGCGUGUGUGAAGAAGGCCCUCGGGUUGUAAAGCACUUUCAGUGAGGAAGAACGCCUGGUGGUUAAUACCCAUCAGGAAAGACAUCACUCACAGAAGAAGCACCGGCUAACUCCGUGCCAGCAGCCGCGGUAAUACGGAGGGUGCGAGCGUUAAUCGGAAUUACUGGGCGUAAAGCGCGCGUAGGUGGCUUGAUAAGCCGGUUGUGAAAGCCCCGGGCUCAACCUGGGAACGGCAUCCGGAACUGUCAAGCUAGAGUGCAGGAGAGGAAGGUAGAAUUCCCGGUGUAGCGGUGAAAUGCGUAGAGAUCGGGAGGAAUACCAGUGGCGAAGGCGGCCUUCUGGACUGACACUGACACUGAGUUGCGAAAGCGUGGGUAGCAAACAGGAUUAGAUACCCCUGUAGUC